rnacentral:rRNA from 1 species
GAUCAUGGCUCAGGAUGAACGCUAGCGGCAGGCUUAAUACAUGCAAGUCGAGGGGCAGCACGAAUAGCAAUAUUUGGUGGCGACCGGCGCACGGGUGCGUAACACGUAUACAACCUACCUAUAACAGGGGGAUAGCCUUUCGAAAGAGAGAUUAAUACCCCGUAAUAAUUGAGUGGCAUCACUUGAUUUUGAAAGCUACGGCGGUUAUAGAUGGGUAUGCGUCUGAUUAGCUAGUUGGUGAGGUAACGGCUCACCAAGGCGACGAUCAGUAGGGGAUCUGAGAGGACUAACCCCCACACUGGUACUGAGACACGGACCAGACUCCUACGGGAGGCAGCAGUAAGGAAUAUUGGUCAAUGGAGGCAACUCUGAACCAGCCAUGCCGCGUGCAGGAUGACGGCCCUAUGGGUUGUAAACUGCUUUUGUACCAGAGAAAACCUACUCACGUGUGAGUAGCUGAUAGUAUGGUAAGAAUAAGCAUCGGCUAACUCCGUG